GUCGAGAAUCUUCCGCAAUGCGCGAAAGCGUGACGGAGCGACACCGCGUGAUGGAUGAAGUCCUUCGGGGCGUAAACAUCUUUUAUAAAGGAGGAAAUUUUUGACGUUACUUUAUGAAUAAGGGGCUCCCAAUCUCGUGCCAGCAGGAGCGGUAAUACGAGAGCCUCAAGCGUUAUCCGGAAUCAUUGGGCGUAAAGGGUGCGUAGGUGGUUUGAUUAGUCUCCCGUUAAAACUUCGAGCUUAACUCGAAAAGAGCGGGGGAAACGGUCAAACUAGAGUAUGUGAGAGGUGUAUGGAACUCAUGGUGUAGGGGUGAAAUCCGUUGAUAUCAUGGGGAACACCAAAAGCGAAGGCAGCACACUGGCACAUCACUGACACUGAGGCACGAAAGCGUGGGGAGCAAACAGGAUUAGAAACCCGGGUAGUCC
rnacentral:rRNA from 1 species